UAUGCCUGUGAUGAGUUGGUGGUCAGAUGAACCCAGAUGAGCUGAGAGUUUGAUUGUUUAUAAACUGCUAUUGGACUUUAGUUAAGGACUCUGUAGCCCUGGAAGAGGCUGGACUCUGUGAAGCAAUUUGGAUGGAGGACUGGGUCUAUUCUAAGGCUGGAAUAGCCCAAAGACUGGAGAAACUGAGGCUGAACCACUGCAUAACUUCAUAGAGCCACAAAGGGAUUUUCGUUACCCCAAAAGGCAUUCAGGUUUUGUUUUGGCCAGAGGCAGAAACUACUGUACCAGAGGGAAAACCUCAGUUAGCAGCCGCAUCUGUCCACAACAGGAUAAGAAUACCUGUCUCAUCCAAAGAGGAGUAUGAAAACAAGUGGGAUUAAGAAGAACUGAGGUUAUUUUUUAAUUUGCUCUGGUCAAGAGCUAAGAUCCUAGGUAUUUUAAGGGAGGAGACACCAGCAGGAACUUCUGAAUGACCAUUGAGCAGAAAGGCAACAAUCAUGAAAUGCUACGUGGCUAAUGAUGUGGAACAAAACAUUCAGGUGUUCAAAAAUAUGCAAAGCUGUGGUUAUGGAAAAAUUAACAUACCAGUUACGUACCAGGUAAAAUGAUGACAGAUACUUAGAUAUUUAAUGAUUCUUAUUAUUAUAGUACUAUUCAGUACUCAAAGCAUAUUCACACACAAAAAACUCCAAUAUUCUUGUCCAGUUUUUAAAAAAAAAAUUAUUUACAUUUGACAGACACACCCAUAUCUGUUAAAUAUGUAUGUAGAGAUUUCAUUCAGUUUGACAAAAUCAUUGAAGGAGACAUAGGUGGUACAAAGAGGCUCACUCUGUAAUAGGGGAACAUCCUGAUAAACAGAUUUGAUUAAUAUACUAGUGUCUAAUGUCUCUUUAAACAAAAACUAACUCUUGGAAUUAUUGUUUUGUUUCUCAUAUUUA